UGCCUACGGGGGGCAGCAGUGGGGGAUAUUGCACAAUGGGGGGAACCCUGAUGCAGCGACGCCGCGUGGGUGAAGAAGCGCCUCGGCGCGUAAAGCCCUGUCAGCAGGGAAGAAAAUGACGGUACCUGAAGAAGAAGCCCCGGCUAACUACGUGCCAGCAGCCGCGGUAAUACGUAGGGGGCAAGCGUUAUCCGGAUUUAUUGGGUUUAAAGGGUGCGCAGGCGGAAGAUCAAGUCAGCGGUAAAAUUGAGAGGCUCAACCUCUUCGAGCCGUUGAAACUGGUUUUCUUGAGUGAGCGAGAAGUA
rnacentral:rRNA from 1 species